CAGUUCGAAUUAUUUCAAGAAAAUCCACCACGGUUAACCAAAUCAAAUUAACAAAAGCCCUAAGGUUUGUUUCAACGCAAAAUCGGCGUUGAUUAUAUUCAACAAACAUUUUGUAUACGUGUUUUUCUCUUUAUAUUUAAAUGAGUUGUUUUUGGUUGAGCGUGUGCGUGCUUGGUCGAUGAGGCGUAAGCUGCCAAAUUUAAAAUGGCGGAUGAAAAUCCCAGUGCGAAAUUUUGGGCUGAUGUGGGUCUGAUUGCUAUGACGAUUCGACAAGCAGUGGCGCUACAUUUCUCACGGAGAAUUUUCUAAUUUGGCGCCAAAAUCGACUGAAAGCAAGUCGAGGUCAGAAGUCGAAAGGAUUUUUCUUUGACUGUUUACGGAAUUAAAAGUGAAUUGCAGACAAACGACUCCAGAAUGCAUCCGCAUCCGAAGCUAGUCGAAGGCUUCCUCUCGGUUUGUCCGAACUGCGGCUUCGCCGGAAUCGAUCACGCCAAAUGUCUGCGGUGCAAAAAGGUCUUUGUCCGUCCGCCACGUCGCAUUCCUCAACCUGAUCAACCGGUUGUUCCAAACUAAAGAGAUUGAAGACGAGUAAUGAUUCUUUAUUGGUAAUAUUAUACUUUAUUAUCCUUUCGUAAUAAACAUAGAACGACACAUGCUCAGUGAAUAAAUCAAAAUAAUCUUCAAAGUAAACGGUAUUUCAUUUCCAAGCC